rnacentral:rRNA from 1 species
ACGGAAGGCAGCAGUGGGGAAUAUUGCACAAUGGGGGAAACCCUGAUGCAGCGACGCCGCGUGAGUGAAGAAGUUAUUCGUAAUGUAAAGCUCUAUCAGCAGGGAAGAAAAUGACGGUACCUGACUAAGAAGCCCCGGCUAACUACGUGCCAGCAGCCGCGGUAAUACGUAGGGGGCAAGCGUUAUCCGGAUUUACUGGGUGUAAAGGGAGCGUAGACGGUCUGGCAAGUCUGAUGUGAAAGGCAGGGGCUCAACUCCUGGACUGCAUUGGAAACUGCCAGUCUUGAGUGCCGGAGAGGUAAGCGGAAUUCCUAGUGUAGCGGUGAAAUGCGUAGAUAUUAGGAGGAACACCAGUGGCGAAGGCGGCUUACUGGACGGUAACUGACGUUGAGGCUCGAAAGCGUGGGGAGCAAACAGGAUUAGAUACCCUGGUA